GAUGAAGAACGUAGUGAAAUGCGAUAAGUAAUGUGAAUUGCAGAAUUCAGUGAAUCAUCGAAUCUUUGAACGCACAUUGCGCCCGCCAGUAUUCUGGCGGGCAUGCCUGUCUGAGCGUCAUUUCAACCCUCAUGCCCCUAGGGCGUGGUGUUGGGGAUCGGCCAAAGCCCGCGAGGGACGGCCGGCCCCUAAAUCUAGUGGCGGACCCGUCGUGGCCUCCUCUGCGAAGUAGUGAUAUUCCGCAUCGGAGAGCGAUGAGCCCCUGCCGUUAAACCCCCAACUUUCCAAGGUUGACCUCAGAUCAGGUAGGAAUACCCGCUGAACUUAAGCAUAUCAAUAAGCGGAGA
rnacentral:misc_RNA from 1 species